rnacentral:rRNA from 1 species
CGACAGGCGUUAACACAUGCAAGUCGAGGGGCAGCAUAAAAGUAGCAAUACUUGGUGGCGACCGGCGCACGGGUGAGUAACGACGUAUGACAACCUACCUAUCGAGAGGGGAAUAACCCGGCGAAAGUCGGACUAAUACCGCAUAAAACAGGGGCACCGCAUGGUGAUAUUUGUUAAAGAAAUUCGCUGAUAGAUGGGCAUGCGUUCCAUUAGGUAGUUGGUGAGGUAACGGCUCACCAAGCCGACGAUGGAUAGGGGAACUGAGAGGUUGGUCCCCCACACUGGUACUGAGACACGGACCAGACUCCUACGGGAGGCAGCAGUGAGGAAUAUUGGUCAAUGGGCGGGAGCCUGAACCAGCCAAGUCGCGUGAAGGAAAGAAGGAUCUAUGGUUCGUAAACUUCUUUUGCAGGGGAAUAAAGUGCAGGACGUGUCCUGUUUUGUAUGUACCCUGAGAAUAAGGAUCGGCUAACUCCGUGCCAGCAGCUGC